rnacentral:rRNA from 1 species
GACGAACGCUGGCGGCGUGCCUAAUACAUGCAAGUCGAACGCAUUUUCUUUCACCGUAGCUUGCUACACCGAAAGAAAAUGAGUGGCGAACGGGUGAGUAACACGUGGGUAACCUGCCCAUCAGCGGGGGAUAACACUUGGAAACAGGUGCUAAUACCGCAUAAUUCCAUUUACCGCAUGGUAGAUGGAUGAAAGGCGCUUUUGCGUCACUGAUGGAUGGACCCGCGGUGCAUUAGCUAGUUGGUGGGGUAACGGCCUACCAAGGCUGCGAUGCAUAGCCGACCUGAGAGGGUGAUCGGCCACACUGGGACUGAGACACGGCCCAGACUCCUACGGGAGGCAGCAGUAGGGAAUCUUCGGCAAUGGACACAAGUCUGACCGAGCAACGCCGCGUGAGUGAAGAAUGUUUUCGGAUCGUAAAACUCUGUUGUUAGAGAAGAACAAGGAUGAGAGUGGAAAGUUCAUCCCUUGACGGUAUCUAACCAGAAAGCCACGGCUAACUACGUG